rnacentral:rRNA from 1 species
AUGUGUGCAGCAAAGCGGGAUGGGGGCAUGGGGUUCAGAGACCUCGAGGCGUUCAACCAGGCAUUGCUGGCGAAGCAAGCUUGGAGGAUCCUACAAGUGCCAUCUUCACUGUGUGCAAGAGUGCUCAAGGCGCGUUAUUUCAGCGAGGAUUCGAUCUUGACAGUAACAGCACCGUCCUCUGCUUCCUACACUUUUCGUAGUAUC